AGUGUGUAUAGGGGGUAAUAAUGUCCGUCUCAUUCUUCAUGUUAAACUGGUACCUCGUCACGGUGCACAGCAGCCCUAUGUGUUCAGGCAUCUGUCCUUCCCAUCCCCACCGCCCCAUCCCUCCCUUCAUUCCCCUCUGCACAAUCCAGAUUUCCUUCGCUCUUCCCUACCUGAAUGUGCUUAUCAGAGAAAACAUUUGGCAUUUGGUUUGGGGGAUUGGCUUAUUUCACUAGCACGAUAUUCUCCAGCUCCAUCCAUUUGCUGGCAAAUGCCACCCCAUUCAUGAUAGCCACAAACAGACAAACAACAACAACAACAAACCCUUGGGAAUCAACCUAACCAAAGAGGUGAAAGACCUCUACAAUGAAAACUACAGGACACUAAAGAAUGAAACUAAAGAAGACCUCAGAAGAUGGAAAGAUCUCCCAUGCUCCUGGAUAGGCAGAAUCAAUAUUGCCAAAAUGGCCACUCUACCCAAAGCAUUACACGGAUUCAAUGCACUUCCUAUUAAAAUCCAGUGACGACCUUCAAAGAACUAGAGAACGCACUCAUGAAAUUCAUUUGGAAAAAUAAGAGACCCAGAAUAGCCAAAGCCAUCCUUAGCAAGAAGAGUGAAGCAGGAGGCCCCACAAUUCCAGACCUUCAACUAUACUACAGAGCAACCGUAACGAAACAGCAUGGCAUGGGCACCAAAAGCCAUCUCUUCACGUUAAACUGGCCAUUCACCACAGUGGCACAGCAACCCUACGUGUUCAGGCACCUGUCCAAGAGCUUCAAGGCUCCUGCAGCGAGCACUGCCAGAACUACCAGGGGGCUGGUCCAGUGCCACGGCUUGAGACGGCGGCAUUGCUGCCCCAGGAACCAGCCGCGCAAGCAGACAGUGGUGCCCUGAGGUACAUGGGAGACCUGAGCAGGGCAGACGGCCACUGGACCCAGAGGACACUCAGAGAGCAUUCUCCCCACCGUGAUGCGAUGGCUGUUCAAAUGUACGUGGAAUGCUGCUGAAGUGGACUAUGUUCUGGGCCAUAUUUAAAGUUAGAAAAUGCAUUUAAAAAGAUUCAAGUCAUAUAACAUUUUCUGACUAAAGUGGAACUAAAUUAUAAAUCAAUGAAAUAAUGGCAUCUGGAAAAUCUCCAAAUAUUUGAAAAUUAAAUGGCACACUUCUGAACAACACUUAGGUCAAGGGAAAAU
rnacentral:lncRNA from 1 species